rnacentral:misc_RNA from 1 species
GAUGAAGAACGCAGCGAAAUGCGAUACGUAAUGUGAAUUGCAGAAUUCAGUGAAUCAUCGAGUCUUUGAACGCACAUUGCGCCCCUUGGUAUUCCAUGGGGCAUGCCUGUUCGAGCGUCAUUUGUACCUUCAAGCUUUGCUUGGUGAUGGGUGUUUGUCUCGCCUUUGCGUGUAGACUCGCCUUAAAAUAAUUGGCAGCCGGCGUAUUGAUUUCGGAGCGCAGUACAUCUCGCGCUUUGCACUCAUAACGACAGCGUCCAAAAGUACAUUUUACACUCUUGACCUCGGAUCAGGUAGGGAUACCCGCUGAACUUAAGCAUAUCAAUAAGCGGAGGA